GACAGCGGGCACCCCGAGACGCUGCUGAACCUGGUGGUGCUGUCCCAGCACCUGGGCAAGGCCCCAGAGGUCACCAAUCGUUACCUGUCCCAGCUGAAAGAUGCUCACAAAAACCAUCCCUUCAUCAAGGAGUACCAGGCCAAGGAGAACGACUUUGACCGCCUGGCCCUGCAAUAUGCACCCAGUGCCUGAGCCCUGGGCAGGGAAAAUCCCUCUGGAACAGGGAAAUUCCCACCUGGAACCCAAAAAAAUCCCUCUGGAACCCAAAAAAAUCCCCUCUGGAAUACAGAAAUUCCCUCUGGAACAAGGAAAAUCCAUCUGGAACCCAAAAAUUUCCCUCUGGAAUCCAGAAAUUCCCUCUGGGACAGAGAAAAUCUCACCUGGAACCCAAAAAAUCCCCUCUGGAACAGAGAAAAUUCCAACAUUUCCACGGAUCCAUCCCAAAUUCCGCAGCAUCUGCCAGCCCUGCUGGGAUUCCUUUUGGGAUAAACCCCAAAACAAUAAUGAAUAAAUAAAAAUAAAAAUAAAAUAAAAAAAUAAUCCUCCUGUAAU
rnacentral:lncRNA from 1 species